CAGUAUAGAAAUUGAACACCAAAAUUCUGCUUAUAUACAUCUUGACUCUUGUCCUGUGCUGAUAUAACAGGAAGACAACUGAAUGCUUGCAAGGGCUUGGUCUUUGCUCUGGUUUUGAAGAUGUUAAGAAAUCUGGGAAACUAUUUUGGAAUACAAUCCUCAUACUUUGGUCUGCUAUCCAUAACAGACUUUCCGGACGAGAGAAGAAACCUCAUGUGCCCUGCUUCAAAUGCUGCUGUUUACCUUUCAUAACUGCCUGAAUCAACAAGAUGGAUAAAUAUUUUUCUGUCAUGAUGGGAUGAGAGAAAGAUGGAAAGAACAACAUGUGACAGAGGAUCUAGACUCAUUCAUCUGAGGAAGAUGGUCUUUCUCUCACCACUACUUUGAUUGCUGAACACAAACACUGCAUCUAAGAAAAUUAAAAUAUGUUUUGGAGUAGAUAAUCUGCCUUGGAUCCAGAGACGACUGGUAAAUCCAUUUCAAGCACAGAACCAAACAAGCUGUGUAUUUCUGAAGUGGAAAAGAUCGCUGAGUUCAUCUUCUAGCUGUUUUGGAAUAUUCGGUGGAGAAGAACCUUUAUUUUGGAAGAAAGAUGAACAAACUGGAUGCAACCAAUACAGAUUUGAUUUACUUCAGGGGGACAAUGACAAAUUUGAGGACAGAAGGCUCAUGAAAUGGCAAAGUUUCUGAUUUUAAUGAAAGGAAGAAAAUGUAAAAGGAGUCCAGCUGUGCCUGCGCAGACCUUGGAUGUUCAGCAUGUCAUCUGCACAGAGGCACAGACAUGGCACCUUCCCUGCCUGGCUCCAAGACCUCAGCUUGGAUGCAUCUCCCAGCCCUCCUCUGGCCUGUAUUGCUCAGUCCCAGGCUCUGGACACUGCAAGAGGGAUUUCCUGUCCUGGGGUCAAGGACUCUCACAUCCAAAGAGACAGAGGCCUUGCUGGCAGCUCGUUGAACCAAAAUCACUCAAGAAACAAGCUGUGCUAAUACAAGAACAAAGAAAGUCUUUAUUUACAAGAUCUGAAUGUAAAAAAAUGUUCAUAAAGCAGGUGUAGAGAAAAGAAGGGAACUAUGCUUAUUUUAAAGGUGUUUUUUCAUUCUCUGUUGACAAGUUGACAGGCAGUUUAUGCGCUUAUUUUAGCACAUGGCUGUGAACUAGUACUUUUUGUCCUUUAUUUUGUAGUCGCUGAAAAAAAUCUUAGCUCUCUGUAAUUCCUUUAAAGCUUAAUUCCUACAUUUCAGUUCAUUCUCUGGAUAAAUUGACUUGCUUCAAGAAAAAAAAGUAUGAAAAACAAAGUAGAACACCCCUGGCAGGUAAAGUUUUCAGUGUUAUGUUUGCCCUUUACAUUUUUAUGAAUCAAGCAAUGUGACAACCAUGCUUUACACAAUCAAAGAGGAUUAAUGCAGAAAGUUUCACAUCAUUUUUGAGCUGAGACUAGGGAAAGAUGAAAAAAUUAUGUCAGGUGAGAAAAGGUUAGGAACCAAUAGCAUGUUCACUGAGGGCUACCUUAACUCAGUCUCUUUGGACUCCAUUAAAAAAACUAUUUUUAAAAAUUACUCUAUAUUGGCCUGCUGUAGCUGUGUCUGCCACCAUAAAGUUCUGUGAGAAGUGGAAUUUUUCAACUGAGUUAUUCACCUAAUUUUCUGGAAAGUGACUGAAUAUUCACCAAAAUCCUGGGGAAAACAGGAAUCCCCUUAAGUUCUUGUUAAUUUGCUUUUAUACACUUCUGGAUGGCAUCCAUUGGUGAUGUAGUAUUGAAUAACAGCAUAGUAAUGAUGUUUGACACUCACAUUGAUUCAAGAUAGUUUUGAGGCUACUAAUCCAGUGAAAUCCCUGAAAUAUCUAUCAGCAUAAGUAUUUUUAGGGAAAUGUUAUGAAAUGCGGUAGAAUAAGGAAGAUUUUGAUGUCUGAAUAUUUUCACCACGAGAGUCAUUAGACUGCAAUUCUGAAGCAAUGUAUGUGCACACAUCACCAUUGCAAUUUUUUUUCUCUCUUUCAGUUCCAGAAGGAACAUUCCAAGGCUCUCACCUCAUUCACGUUGAAAUGAAAAAAAAUUAGCUAACAUGUGAGAAAGACCAAAUUUUGGGGGAAAAAAAAAAAAAAAUGUUAACACCGUGCCCUGUAGCCAAUAGAUUUUACGAAUAUACCCAGAAAUUAUAACUGAAGACAAGGAAAAAUUUUCACCAGAGUUGAACUUAUUUCUGAUUUAUGCUGCUUGGCUGAGAAAUCCCCUCAACCUGUCACUCUCCUUGCUGUGUUCACACACUGCAGAAAUCACAGCAAACAUGCUGCCAAAGCAGAUUGUGGUGCUUUCUUUCCUCAUCAAACUCUGAAACUGUUGAAUUUAUCCACACAAGAAGUGUUAGAGCUACUUUCAGACUCCUGAAGAGUCAUUCUCUUCACAGCACAUUUCUCCAGCUUCCUUUGAGAAGCAUUGUGCCAGAACGUUUUGAUGUCUGACUUGGGCAAACUGCAAACCCCCGGGGCCAGCGUAGAAUUAGAACUAAUCAGGCUUUUAAAUACAUAAGGUAUGGUAUUGAAUAGAUCUCCCAGAAUAUCUAUAGGGCAAAUGACAAGACAGAUAGCAGUUUGCCCUGAGGAGAACUCUAAUGAGACAUGCACUCCCUGCAAGACUUGCC
ensembl:lncRNA